rnacentral:rRNA from 1 species
AACGAACGCUGGCGGCAGGCUUAACACAUGCAAGUCGAACGCAUCCUUCGGGGUGAGUGGCAGACGGGUGAGUAACGCGUGGGAACGUGCCCUUCAGUUCGGGAUAACCCAGGGAAACUUGGGCUAAUACCGGAUACGUGCGAGAGCAGAAAGAUUUAUCGCUGAAGGAUCGGCCCGCGUCUGAUUAGCUAGUUGGUGGGGUAGUGGCCCACCAAGGCGACGAUCAGUAGCUGGUCUGAGAGGACGAUCAGCCACAUUGGGACUGAGACACGGCCCGAACACCUACGGGAGGCAGCAGUGGGGAAUAUUGGACAAUGGGCGCAAGCUUGAUCCAGCCAUGCCGCGUGAGUGAUGAAGGCCUUAGGGUUGUAAAGCUCUUUCGUCCGGGACGAUAAUGACGGUACCGGAAGAAGAAGCCCCGGCUAACUUCGUGCCAGCCGCCGCCGUAAUAC